GACGAACGCUGGCGGCGUGCCUAAUACAUGCAAGUAGAACGCACAGUUUAUACCGUAGCUUGCUACACCAUAGACUGUGAGUUGCGAACGGGUGAGUAACGCGUAGGUAACCUGCCUGGUAGCGGGGGAUAACUAUUGGAAACGAUAGCUAAUACCGCAUAAUAUUGAUUAUUGCAUGAUAAUUGAUUGAAAGAUGCUAUUGCAUCACUACCAGAUGGACCUGCGUUGUAUUAGCUAGUAGGUGAGGUAACGGCUCACCUAGGCGACGAUACAUAGCCGACCUGAGAGGGUGAUCGGCCACACUGGGACUGAGACACGGCCCAGACUCCUGCGGGAGGCAGCAGUAGGGAAUCUUCGGCAAUGGACGAAAGUCUGACCGAGCAACGCCGCGUGAGUGAAGAAGGUUUUCGGAUCGUAAAGCUCUGUUGUAAGAGAAGAACGGGUGUGAGAGUGGAAAGUUCACACUGUGACGGUAUCUUACCAGAAAGGGACGGCUAACUACGUG
rnacentral:rRNA from 1 species